rnacentral:lncRNA from 1 species
GCCGACCAGGACAGCCCGUUAUUUUUACUGGAACGUAGAUCGCAGACAGUUUUCUUAGGACCCUCAACGACAGUUGAAUUGAAUCCUGAAUCAGGGCCAAAACAAAUCCCUACCUGGAUUUUCGGGCCGCUUCCUGAUAAUACUAUAGUUUUAAUUUUGGGACGUAAUAAUUUAAAGGGAGCCAUUGAGGUAAUACCUGGUGUGAUAGAUUCAAAUUUUAAAGGACAAUUAAAUGUUACUGUAAGGUCCAAUUAUGCCCUAAGGCUCACUCCAAAGGAUACAUUUGCCCAAUUAAUUUUAUUGCCCUGUGAUUUGGAUAAACACCCACCAGUAAAUUCAGUUUCUAAACCGCCGGAAAGAGUGUACUGGUCUCAGUUAGUGUGACAAGAACGCCCUUUAUUAGAACUUAAAAUUAAUCAUAAAAGGUUCUUAGGAAUCCUAGACACAGGGGCCGACAUUUCGGUUUUUUCUAGUAGAUUCUGGCCUAGGAAUUGGCUCUUACAUGUAGCACCAGCUAACCUAGAGGGAAUUGGACAAAUUUCACAGCCUGCUCAAAGUGCCAAUUAUCUCCGUUGGGAAGAUUCUGAUUGGAACAGUGAAGUCUUUAAACCUUAUGUGUUAGAGUCUUUACCAGCAAACCUAUGGGGAAGGGAUAUUUUAGCCAAAAUGGGAUUGUUAUUAGUUACUCCAAAUUCUAUAAGGUCAGUUGAGGAAGUUAAUCAGAGGUAUUUUCCUGGAGAUGAUAAGGAGACCCUUCAGGGAGAGUAUCUGUUUACAAACCAGUCUCCAUGACAAAGAUUAGUAAAUGCUCCAAGCCAAAAUUUUUACUAGGGGCCCUGAGUACUUCCCUGAUCCCUAAGACAGCUGAAAAAAUCACCUGGCUCACAGUGGAGCCUAUAUGGAUUUCUCAAUGGCCCAUCUCAGGGGAAAAACUUAAAAUAAUUCAUAGGUUCGUUGAGGAACAACUUCAGGCUGGUCAUAUAGAACCAACACUUAGUCCUUGGAACAUACCUAUUUUUGUUAUUAAGAAAAAGUCAGGAAAUUGGAGAUUGCUACAGGAUUUAAGGGUGAUAAAUCAUGCAAUUCGGCCUAUGGGAUCAUUACAGCCAGGACUUCCCUCCCCCACAGCCAUCCCUUUAGACUAUAACUUGAUGGUAAUAGAUUUAAAAGAUUGUUUUUUCUCUAUAAGGUUACAUCCUGGAGAUUGUGAGAGAUUUGCCUUCACUGUCCCAGCAAUUAAUUUUAAGGAACCUGUUAAAAGAUAUUGCUGGAAAGUACUCCCCCAGGGAAUGCGAAUUGUCCUACCUUGUGCCAAAAAUAUGUCGACCAGGCGAUAGAUCCCAUAAGAAAUAGCUUUCCUGAUGCGUAUAUUAUUCAUUUUAUGGAUGAUAUAUUAUUGGCUCAUGCUAAUCCAGAGGUACUUUCAGAAAUUUUUACUCAGUUAGAGGCUUCGCUUACAGCAAUGGGUUUAUGCAUUGCUCCUCAAAAAAUUCAAAAGG